rnacentral:rRNA from 1 species
UGAACGCUGGCGGCGUGCCUAACACAUGCAAGUCGAACGAAGCAUGAUUGAAGGAGACUUCGGUCAAUGGAUAUCAUGACUUAGUGGCGGACGGGUGAGUAAUACAUGAGCAACCUGCCUUUCAGAGGGGACAACAGCUGGAAACGGCUGCUAAUACCGCAUAACGUGCGAGAGGGGCAUCCCUUUUGUACCAAAGGAGCAAUCCGCUGAAAGAUGGGCUCAUGACUGAUUAGUUAGUUGGCAGGGCAACGGCCUACCAAGACUGCGAUCAGUAGCCGGACUGAGAGGUUGAACGGCCACAUUGGGACUGAGAUACGGCCCAGACUCCUACGGGAGGCAGCAGUGGGGAAUAUUGGGCAAUGGGCGAAAGCCUGAACCCCAGCAACGCCGCGUGAAGGAAGAAGGUCUUCGGAUUGUAAACUUCUUUUAUGAGGGACGAAGGACGUGACGGUACCUCAUGAAUAAGCCACGGCUAACUACGUGCCAGCCGCAGC